CUGAAAGAAUUAUCAGUUAUUAUGGCGUUUCUUACUUUGUAUGUCUUAUGCGACAUACAGAGUUCUCAUGUAGAGAGUAUUUAUUAGUGGGCUGAUAAAUACAUUAUUUCAAUCCAAUAUCCAAUACCAAAUUUGAAAUCACACUGUAAGCAAAGGACUUACGGCAAUCGCUGGAUCUUAAUGUUGUUUUGACCAAUCUCUACCUCAGGUUGCAGAAGCUCUAAAUCAACUGAAUUAAGAUAUUCUCCAUUAGCCUUUUAAUCAUCCAAGACCUUUGCACUCAUGAUUGCCAUUAAUCUGCUGCAUUGAGAUAUUUCUAUUACUGUUACGUUUAAAACAAAAUGCUUGAAAGGUCAGUGCAAGCAUUUAUUAAUUGGUGGAUGAAUCAGUCAUAGUUCCUGCCCUUCUUGCUUAUGUGAGAAUAAUUUGUGGAGUUUAAGUUGUCCACUUGUCCAGAUAGCACAUGGGGUGUGAAUGUCAUGGCAUAAUUUUUGUUGGCAAAAAGAGCUGUCGGCCACCAAUCCGUCUCAUGAAGACAUCAGAACAAAGAAACUAAAUGAAGGAGAUCUAUAAUAAAGGGAUUCCUUUGCAGUUGUAGGGUCAAUGAAGUGCCAACAUUUCAGAGGUCCAAGGGAGGGUUGGUGAUGGGGCAAUUGCUACCCCCCCCCCCCCAGGUCACUGUCAUACAGGGCUGUUGUUCCAUAGUCUCACAGCACAAUAUAUUUUUCUAGGUCAGCACUGAAGGUUGGUCUAAAAGCUGGCAAAUUGGGACAUUUCAUGGGAGUCUGGUAUCAGAGGUUGACUAGGUUGCUGGACUAUUAUGAGACUGUGUGGUGUUCUUGGGGGUAUUUGCAAGUCAUUACAUUAUUCAAAACAUUCCUCCCAGACGCUGGACGUCAUUGGUGGACAUGAAGUUAUGAGAAUCAGAGUCUGCAUCUCUUAGACACGUCUUCUCAUGUCGUGCAGGACAUAUUGACG